AUGAGUUGAUAUAUCUACCUAUACUAGCUAUUAAUCGGUGUCCAUUGUCUCAACUCGAUCAAGCGGAAAAUUCAUCAUGAAACUUUUUUUAUGUUUUGCCUUGCUUGCCAUGUUUGCGGUGAUUCUCUGGUAUCCUUCUCCCAUUGAGGCUAGAGUCACUACACAGCAUACUCCACUUCCUAUCUGUCGUUGUUUACCAAAAGAAAUUCGUCGUCCCUGUAUACCCAGCGGAGGUCGUCGUCCUAAUGGGAGCAUUAUGUGCACGUAUUGAGCUAAAAAAUCGAAGCAUCUGUGGAAACUUGCAAUUUCGUUCAAAGCUAUUUUUUUGUUAUAAAAAAAAAAAAAAAAUAACGAAUACAAAAUUGUUAAAAUAAA
rnacentral:sRNA from 1 species